AAUACAAGACCAUUCCCACAAAUCUUGAGGGGAAAAAAUGAAAGGACACCCUAUAAUAUGCUUGCCUAACUUGCAAGCCACACUCUCUAGUGUUGACAGACUCCAACGAUGCAACUAACAACUUCAAAUUAUUAACAGAUGGAUGAACGCAUCGGGGUGAUCCAUCCGCAUCUAGAUUGCAUCGUCGCAUCAAGACUGCAACACACAUUUUAAAACGCUAGGUAGAUGCACAAAUCUCAUGACAGAAGGCCACAAGAAAACUACCUGCACCUGCAUCACCAAUAAAAAAAAGAAAAGGAACGACAUCAAGUCAACUAGAUGUUGGAACUUUCUUUUUAAAC
rnacentral:lncRNA from 1 species